rnacentral:precursor_RNA from 9 species
AAGAAAUGACGGAAUAACUCUAGGGCACGUAGGCAGUGAUGAGGGCAAUAUUGUGAAAGAAAUGGCAAAUUGCACUCGUCCCGGCCUGCUGGACCCUUAACAUACGGCACUCCUUGUGG